rnacentral:rRNA from 1 species
GGCGAGUGAGCGGCAAGAGCUCAAAUUUGAAAGCUGGCUCCUUCGGGGUCCGCAUUGUAAUUUGCAGAGGAUGCUUCGGGAGCGGCCCCCAUCUAAGUGCCCUGGAACGGGCCGUCAUAGAGGGUGAAAAUCCCGUCUGGGAUGGGGUGUCCGCGCCCGUGUGAAGCUCCUUCGACGAGUCGAGUUGUUUGGGAAUGCAGCUCUAAAUGGGUGGUAAAUUUCAUCUAAAGCUAAAUAUUGGCCGGAGACCGAUAGCGCACAAGUAGAGUGAUCGAAAGAUGAAAAGCACUUUGAAAAGAGAGUUAAACAGCACGUGAAAUUGUUGAAAGGGAAGCGCUUGCGACCAGACUCGCCCACGGGGUUCAGCCGGCAUUCGUGCCGGUGUACUUCCCCGCGGGCGGGCCAGCGUCGGUUUGGGCGGCCGGUCAAAGGCCCUCGGAAUGUAACGCCCCCCGGGGCGUCUUAUAGCCGAGGGUGCCAUGCGGCCAGCCCAGACCGAGGAACGCGCUUCGGCUCGGACGCUGGCAUAAUGGUCGUAAGCGACCCGUCUUGAAACACGGACCAAGGAGUCUAACAUCUACGCGAGUGUUCGGGUGUCAAACCCGUGCGCGCAGUGAAAGCGAACGGAGGUGGGAACCCCUCGGGGUGCACCAUCGACCGAUCCUGAUGUCUUCGGAUGGAUUUGAGUAUGAGCGUAGCUGUUGGGACCCGAAAGAUGGUGAACUAUGCCUGAAUAGGGUGAAGCCAGAGGAAACUCUGGUGGAGGCUCGCAGCGGUUCUGACGUGCAAAUCGAUCGUCAAAUUUGGGUAUAGGGGCGAAAGACUAAUCGAAC